rnacentral:rRNA from 1 species
UACAGGGGGGGCAAGCGUUGUUCGGAAUUACUGGGCGUAAAGGGUUCGUAGGUGGCUUACUAAGUCAAACGUGAAAUCCCUCAGCUUAACUGGGGAACUGCGUCUGAUACUGGAAAGCUUGAGUGCAGGAGAGGAACGCGGAAUUCCAGGUGUAGCGGUGAAAUGCGUAGAUAUCUGGAGGAACACCGGUGGCGAAGGCGGCAUCCUGGACCGGCAUUGACGCUGAGGCGCGAAAGCCAGGGGAGCAAACGGG